UUGAAGCGAAAGCGAUGUCAGGGCGGCAUGUCUCCUCACUAUUCUCACUUUUCAGACUAUUUUUGAGAGGAGUGAUAGUGAGUUACUUUUUUUCGCAUUUCCUCACUUUUCUCACUAUUUCUAACUAUUUCAGACGAAAGCGGAUAACUUAAGGAAAAUUUUCAUUACAUUUAAUACUGAAGUUACAAAAUCAGUAUCAAUCAGUAACUUUAGGAUCAAAAAUUUCGCCUGCGGCGCAAAAUCUACUCAAAGUUCAAAACAUUGGUUCAUACAAUUCACUAGUGCAGUUUUAGUAGCGAUAU